rnacentral:rRNA from 1 species
GAUUAACGCUGGCGGCGUGCAUAACACAUGCAAGUCGAACGAUGAAACUUUAAUGUACCCUUCGGGGAGAAUUAAAGCGGCUUAGUUGCGAACGGGUUAGUAACGCGUGAGUAUCCUGCCUUCCACAAGGGGCUAGCCUUUGUACCCGAUGAAUACUCCCCUAUAAUACCAUACAAGCACAUGCAAUUAUGGUCAAAGUGAUAGCGGUGUAAGAUGGACUUGCGUCUGAUUAGCUAGUUGGUGAGAUCAAAGCCCACCAAGGCAACGAGCAGUAGCCGGAGUGAGAGAGGGUACGGCCGCAUUGAGACUGAGACACGGCCCAGACGCCUACGAGAGGCAGCAGUGGGGAAUUUAGCACAAUGGGGGAAACCCUGAUGCAGCGACGCCGCGUGAUUUAGAAGGCCUUCGGGUUGUAAAAAUCUUUUGUAUAGGAAGAAAAUGACAGUACUAUACGAAUAAGGUCCGGCUAAUUACGUG